rnacentral:lncRNA from 1 species
CAGGUACCCCCAGGUACCCCCAGGUGUGUCCCAGGUACCCCCAGGUGUCCCCAGGUGUGUCCCAGGUGUGUCCAGGUGUGUCUCAGGUACCCCCAGGUGUCCCCAGGUGUGUCCCAGGUACCCCCAGGUGUCCCCAGGUGUCCCCAGGUGUGUCCAGGUGUGUCCCAGGUGUCCCCAGGUGUGUCCAGGUGUGUCUCAGGUGUGUCUCAGGUGUCCCCAGGUGUAUCUCAGGUGUAUCCCAGGUGUGCCCAGGUGUAUCUCAGGUGUGUCCCCAGGUGUGCCCAGGUGUCCCCAGGUGUCCCCAGGUGUGUCCCAGGUGUAUCUCAGGUGUCCCCAGGUGUCCCCAGGUGUGUCCAGGUGUGUCCCAGGUGUCCCCAGGUGUCCCCAGGUGUGUCCCAGGUGUGUCUCAGGUGUCCCCAGGUGUCCCCAGGUGACCCCAGGUGUAUCUCAGCUGUCCCCAGGUGUCCCCAGGUGACCCCAGGUGUAUCCCAGGUGUGCCCAGGUGUGUCCCCAGGUGCACUCACCUGUCCCAGCAGCUCCUGCAGUCUCCUCCUGAGCGCUCCGUUGUCCCUGCGCAGCCGCUCGUUCUCGGCCAGC